AUGCCUCCAAAAAAAAGACGCAACCUCAUUGUCAAUGCACAUGCCCAACCGGGUGUGGGAAGACGGCACCUGAACGAGAAUUUUUCAACACUUCCUGCUACCAGCACUGAGUUGAAAAAGGGACAUGUAUUACACCUGUACGUCUGUGCAGCGGGAAGUAAUAGAGCUGAGACAGCGAGACAAUUAAAAACACAUUUUUCACCUGAGGGCUUUUCUUUCAGGAAGUCCCUGAGUUCUGAUAUAAGAAUGGUUGUGACAGCAACAUUGAAUAAGUAUAAACAACUCACUGACCCAAAAGAAUUUGAACAGUUUUCAGCAAUAUGUGAUGAACCGUUUGACCUCACUGAGGCAGUUGAUCCUGAGUUCACAGUUCCUGUUGCACAGUUGCCAGUUCCUCAAGUUCCUGUUGUUUCACCUGGAAUUUUUGAUGAGAAAUUAACUGUUGAACAAACAGAUUCCGACACAAUGACCAGAACUCCAGACAGUCACCUUCAAGUUCAUUCUGAGCCAGGGUCCUCUGCCGGUUCAAGGAGUCUUCGAGGUGACCCGCUCACUCCUCAAGAAGCUAAGAUGAAACAACGAUCGGAUUUUAUGUUGUCAACCCACAGAGGAGUGAAAAAGAGAUACCAAGAAAAAGUGAGAGAAUUGAGGAGGCAGCUUCAGACCCCAAGAAAGUGCAUAAACCAAGGCAUUCAGAGGCAAAAGAAUAGAGUUGAGACAAGAAAAGAAGAGAUUAAAAAGCUAAAGGGUAUGUUGUAUAGGAAUGUCCUCUACCGUGAAUUACAGAAAGAAAGAAAUCGCAACAAAACACUGAAGGAUACGCACAGGAAACUUCUUAAAAGAAGAAAAAGCACCGAGACUGUUUCUGUGGCAGAAUAUAAUGAAGUCGUAAUAAAGGUGAAGGAGAAGGACAGUGUGAUAUCAGAACUUCAACAUGAACUCCUGCUUCUUCAGGAAAGAGUUGAAGACUUGACUUCAACCACAGAACAUCCUAAGGGGCCAAAAGUUAAUAGAAAGACGUACUCAUCAGCCAUGAGAAUGAAAGUAUAUGACUGUAUAAGUAGUAAAGUGUCGACGGCAAAUAUACCAGUAGUCUUACAGAGUAUAGCGAAGCGUGAUGGAAUUGAGCUCAAAACUGUACCCCAAAGAAGCACUGUUGAGUUGAUGGCCCAGGAAUUAGGAGUGAUUUCUCAACUGCAGACGGCUGAAAUGAUAUUGGCUAAUAAUAAUGUGACUUUGGGAUUUGAUGCAACUACCCAGGAAGGUACCCAUGUCAACGAAAUCCAUUUUAGUACCGAACAUGACAGCAUGUCAGCUGCAGUGGAUGAGUUGGCAGGAGGAACAGCAGAAGACUACUGCAAUCAUAUCUGCCAAACUGUAGAUGAUUUGGCCCACACUUAUGUUUUCUUUACUAAAGGGACAAACUUCGAGGAAACUAGGGCAAAAUUGAUUGAGAAGAUAUCAAAUGCGAUGACUGACCAAUGUGCGACCAAUCACGCGGCCGUCCGUCUCGUAAGUAGCGAGUGGGGGAAAACGCUGAACGAGAUCAACUGCCACUUGCACCCCCUGGAUUCGAUUGCGACAGCAUGUAGGUCUGCAUUGAAGAAAGUUGAAGAAACUGAUGGGAAUGUUUAUGGUGGGGACUGUAUGGCAGCAAAUGUCAUACUGUCCUUUAGCAAACUUCGUUACAAGGACGGAAAGGGAGACCCCCAUGGUUUUGUGACUUUUUUGGAUCAGAAGAAACUCCCGAGGGGCAUUCUACCUCGUUACAGGGGCAAUCGAUUUCACGUGUUAUUUCACAGUGCUGGUGUACUUAUUGAGCACUAUGAGGUAUUUUUGGAGUUGUUGAAAGAUGGCACAACCCUAGACCGUAACUUGAGAGAGAGCCUUUGCAAGGAUUUUUCAAGUGAAAUAGCUCAAGUGGAACUUCAGGUCCUAGGAAUCAUUGGGAAGCACCUGACAGGUCCCUGGAUGACUAAAUUGUACACCCCAGUGGUUUCUGGGAUAAGUCAUGUUGAUGGCAUAGAACUGGUCAAGCAGGCCACUCAGAGACUCAAGGAGAUGUUGCAGGACCCUCUUCAGAUUCUGUCAUCCACGGAGGAUUUUUUUGGGCAAGAGAUUGUGUUGGGCAAUACAUUAGCGAAGUUGAGGGCAAUGCCUCAUCAUCCCCAAUUUGUUCCCAUGAUGUCUUCUUGUCUUCAGGCAACUAUUGAUGUCCUUGAGCGCCAGUAUGCCAAGUACUUCACGCUAGAAGUGACAGAAAAGCUUCGGGAGGAAACCGCUUCCGUUAGAUGUCACAACAUGGAUUCAGAAGAGUUAAUGGGGAUGUUUAGUGCUUUUCAGAAAAAGGCACCGCGUGCCACGGUCAGUUUUCUCUCUGCCCGGAUGAGAGCCUGCAAGAACAAGACGGUGGAGUACCUGGAGGAGCUAGACGAUGAAAGGAGGGAACUUGUGCUGGAAAAGGCUGUCCGAUGGGGACGAAUCCAAAGAGACAGGAAAAGAGUGACUCGCAGAGAACUGAAAUUGGAGCUGAUUAGGCGGCAGAAAGACAAACGGCAGGAAAGAAAAAACGUUAAAAGAAAGAAAGUUUAG
ensembl:lncRNA